UACGAAGGGGGCUAGCGUUGUUCGGAAUUACUGGGCGUAAAGCGUGCGUAGGUUGUUAUUCAAGUUAGUGGUGAAAGCCCAGGGCUUAACUCUGGAACUGCCAUUAAAACUGAAUAGCUAGAGAGUGUUAGAGGUAAGUGGAAUUCCUAGUGUAGGAGUGAAAUCCGUAGAUAUUAGGAGGAACAUCAAUGGCGAAGGCAGCUUACUGGGUCACAUCUGACACUGAGGCACGAAAGCGUGGGUAGCAAACAGGAUUAGAUACCCUGGUAGUCCACGCCCUAAACGAUGGGUGCUAGAUGUCGGGACAUUAGUUUCGGCGUCGUAGUUAACGCGUUAAGCACCCCGCCUGGGGAGUACGGUCGCAAGAUUAAA
rnacentral:rRNA from 1 species